AGAGGAGCUUCGGCGAAGAGCUCUCAAAGGCUCGUGAAGAGGCUCAAGCUCAGGCUGUCGAAGACUUCAAGAAGUCCGACGAGUUUGGGACCCUGCUGGGACAGUACGGGUCGGGCUCUUACCAUUACGGGCUUCGCCUUGCCCGUUCUUAUCUUCGCACGAAGAUGCCUGAGGACUUGAAGUCCCUCGUCGAGGACUUGAAGACGGUGAACGAGCUCGCAGGAGAGCUCGAACUUUCGGCUUCUGAGGUCGAGGACGAUGGUGAAGAUGAUGAUGACGGUGAUGGAGAUGACGCCGGGGCUGGCGAUCAAGGGGAUGAAGUCAAGGUUGUAGAUAUCGAUUAGGUUUAAAAAUUUUUUUGUAAUGUUGCCCGAACUGGGCUGAUACUUUUGCUAUUUCAUCGAUCAAUGUUCGAGCACUUGUUUUUUGAUUUAAUGAUUAAUUAAUGUUCGCG
rnacentral:lncRNA from 1 species